rnacentral:sRNA from 1 species
AGGUAUUUGAGUAUAUGGGGAUGAAUGGAAUAGAUUCAACGUUGGGGUUACCAGAAAUGUUAAAGGGGGAAGAAUUUCCCCCUUUUCGGAUAACU